AUUGCUUCUCAGCCUUUUGGCUAAGAUCAAGUACAAAGACAUCAUAUUGCUUUUUGAGCCUUUUUCUGUUAAUUUGAUGUAUCACAUUUAUUGAUUUACAUACGUCAAACCAUCCUUGCUUCCUGGGAUGAAUCCCUC
rnacentral:snRNA from 1 species